CAUUGAAGCCAUGUAAGCUGCCCAUCCCUUAGAACCAGCUACUGCAUCAUCAUUUUUCUUCGAUACAACAUCUAUUGGUAAAACAAUCACAUGAAAAAGAUUAAUAUCAGACAAAAAAUCACAUGAAAAUGAUUAAUAUCAGAAACACAAACAUAUUAGCUGCAAUGCACAUCAAACAAGCUUGGGGAUGAGAAGCUUAUGGUAAAGUGAAGGGAUCCGGUACAAAUGCUAAAUUAAAUUACUCCAUUUUGGUGCCAAACUGUGACCGCUAACACGCGCACACACACAGGAAUGCAGCAACAACAACAACACCAACACCAACACCAACAACAAGUUUACAGAAGCAAUGUUUAGUUCAAUAACCAAACAAUUACAAGACCAUAUUUUGGUAAGUUGAGAAUAAAUUAGAAGGAAAAAAAAAAGAAAAAAAAAGUUAGAUAGGUAAAGCAAAAGUCCUUCUGGCUUAC
rnacentral:lncRNA from 1 species